UGGGUGACCUGCCCUCAGCUCUGGGAUAAGCCUGGGAAACUGGGUCUAAUACCGGAUAGGACCGCAUGUUUCAUGGUGUGUGGUGGUAAAGUUUUUUCGGCUGGGGAUGGGCCCGCGGCCUAUCAGCUUGUUGGGUGGGGUGAUGGCCUACCAAGGCGACGACGGGUAGCCGGCCUGAGAGGGUGACCCGGCCACACUGGGACUGAGACACGGCCCAGACCUCCGUACGGGAG
rnacentral:rRNA from 1 species